GAUAGGAGACGUGGAAGACGCCGUCUGCCUCCACGCCUUUUACUGUGCCAUAUGGAGGCGCUGCGGUGCCCUCCCUGCGCGGUAUAACUGGUGGCUGCAGGCCCCUGAUGUUCUCUUCUACCCGCUGAGGCCGGAGUUGGUGGAGUCCACGUACCUCCUCUACCCGGUACUAGAGUGCGCUGAGCAGUGCUCUGUGUGGAAACGCUGGGAAGACUGGAGCCUCCGCUUCUUCAUCAACACCUGCUGACUGAGAUGGAGAAAGGGGAAAUCAUGUGAACCAGUAAUGAUCCUUAUGCCUAAAGACUGACCUCAUGAAUUUUAGCGAAUCUCUCAGAAAAGAAAGCCUGUAACUGGAUAAUUUAUAAAGAAAAGGAACUUAUUUCAUACAGUUACGGAGUCUGAGAAGUUCAAGAGAUUCUUUGGCUAAAAUGUUCGAGGUGGAUCAAAAGGAGCAAUCCUACAUGGCAUAGACUAAAUCAAGCAAAUAGAAAGCUUCUCCUUCACAGACUCAAUAUUAUGGUUUCCCGCCUGUGCUGAUUGUUCGUUCUUGGUAUUUCAAUACAGAGUACAGAGUUCCCUUAAUGUAUUGCUGACAAAACGUGAGUAUAAAGCUACAGCUCCUCAGAUACGAUAAGGAGAGAUGGAUGGAACUCCUUCGUGUUCAGUUUACCUUCUGGAUAAUGGUUUAUCUGCUAGCAUUACAUGUUCCCUUUUAUAAAGCACCAUCAAAAUCAGCUAAUAGUUUUAAGAAUGCAAAUUUUGCCUUUCAAGUGUGAUCAAGAACUCAUUGAGAGUUCACAUGUCUUCAAGUCUCCAUGUGGCCUAGAACAGUAUUGGGUAUAAAGAAUUUGUACCUUUUGAAUGAGUUAGCCAGAUGAAUCUUAUUUUCUACAAGUAUUUGAAGUGGCUGUGAGUAGUAUAGGCAUUCCAUAAAUAAGCCUAAUUUAAACUUGUCUCUGCUCUUCAGUAACAGGGUAUUAACUAGAUUCAUUCCUGUUGCUUAAAAAUUUUGGCUAAGGCUUCAAAAGUGAGAUCAGUGGAUCUUUGGAAUCAAUGGAUCCAUAUCUCUUUGAGAUAUUAAUAAAGAUAGGAAAACCAGUCUAAUGACUGCUACCCCCAUCUGGGCUGGAAAAAAAGGAGGCUAGAGGUUGAUAGGAGGGAUUCUUUGAAACAAAUUCCUGUGAUGAAAGGAGGGAGAUACUUGCUACUCUUUCCUUCCCUUAGUAUUUGCAGCGCCUGUGAAAAGGGCACCACAUUUAUUGACCAAAGCUUUCCAUGAUGUCAGGAAGGGAAGGGAGGCCUCAGCAGGUGUAUUUCCAUGGUUUUCAGGGGGAAAAAAGAAUGAAUUCUUGAGUAUCAGAUGAAUCCCAACAUGCUGACAGAAUAUUAAUGAAGAGCUUCCUAUCAAGGCAAGGGGACCCCUGAGGAUAGAAACCACUAAAGGGGGUUCUCUGGAAGGUUGGCUGGAGAA